rnacentral:rRNA from 1 species
UCAAGCUACAAAGAGCACAAGGGGAAUGCCUUGGCACCGAGAGCCGAAGAAGGACGUGACUAACUGCGAUAAGCUGCGGGGAGCCGUAAGUAGGCUUUGAUCCGCAGAUUUCCGAAUGGAGCAAUCCGGCAAGAGGAAAGUCUUGUCAUCAUAUACUGAAUACAUAGGUAUAUGAGGGGAACCGCCUGAACUGAAACAUCUAAGUAGGGCGAGGAAGAGAAAUCAACUGAGAUUCCGUAAGUAGUGGCGAGCGAACGCGGAAGAGGCCAAACCGAGAGUAGUAAUACUUUCGGGGUUCGGACAGAAAACGGUAUUGUAAAGGUUUAGUGGAAUGGAAUGGGAAGUCCAACCGAAGAAGGUGAGAGUCCUGUACACGAAAAGCCUGAACAGCCAUCUGUAUCCAGAGUACCGCCGGACACGUGAAACCCGGUGGGAAUAUGGGGGGACCAUCCUCCAAGCCUAAAUACUACUCGGUGACCGAUAGUGAAGAAGUACUGUGAAGGAAAGGUGAAAAGUACCCCUGACGGGGAGUGAAAAAGAACCUGAAACCUUGUGUUUACAAGCACCGAAAGCUCAUCAAAGAGCGAUCGGGUACCUUUUGUAGAAUGGUCCGGCGAGUGAAUGUAACCGGCGAGGUUAAGCACUUAAGGUGUGAAGCCGCAGCGAGAGCAAGUCUGAAUAGGGCGUAUGAAGUCGGUUGUAUUCGACCCGAAACCGGGUGACCUACCCAUGGUCAGGUUGAAGUAAAGGUAAAACUUUAUGGAGGACCGAACCGACUCCCGUUGAAAUGGUAGCGGAUGAACUGUGGGUAGCGGAGAAAUUCCAAUCGAACCCGGAGAUAGCUGGUUCUCUCCGAAAUAGCUUUAGGGCUAGCCUUGAAAUAGAUUACCGGAGGUAAAGCACUGAAUUGGCUAGGGGCCGAGAGGUUACUGAACCUUAUCAAACUAAGAAUGCCGGAUAAUCGUUUUUCAGGAGUCAGACAGUGGGAGAUAAGUUUCAUUGUCAAAAGGGAAACAGCCCAGACCCACAGCUAAGGUCCCCAAGUAUAGUUAAGUGGAAAAGGAUGUGGAAUUGCACAGACAACCAGGAUGUUGGCUUAGAAGCAGCCACUCAUUAAAAGAGUGCGUAAUAGCUCACUGGUCGAGUGACUCUGCGCCGAAAAUUUAACGGGGCUAAACUAUACACCGAAGCUUGGGAUACAUCUAAUGUAUGGUAGGAGAGCGUUCUGUAUGGGGAGAAGUCGUAGCGAAAGCGGCGGUGGACUAUACAGAAGUGAGAAUGCCGGAAUAAGUAGCGAGAAUUAAGUGAGAAUCUUAAUGGCCGAAAGUCUAAGGUUUUUGGAGGAAGGUUCGUCCGCUCCAAGUAAGUCGGGAGCUAAGGUCAGGCCGAAAGGCGUAGCCGAUGCACAUACGGUUGAUAUUCCGUAACCAUCUGUAAUUUAAGCAAAGGGACACUUCAAAAGGGUGUGACCCGGGCGUUGGUUGACCCGGGCGUAAGGGACCGAAAUUAGAGUAGGGAAGCACACUUAGCUGAAGGCGAGAAAAGCUUUGCGAAUAGAAGCAGAUGCCCGUACCGCAAACCGACACAGGUGGACAGGAAGAGAAUUCUAAGGCCAGCGGGAGAAGGGUAGUUAAGGAACUCGGCAAAUUGACUCCGUAACUUCGGAAUAAGGAGUGCUCGAAAGAGCCGCAGAGAAUAGGCCCAGGCGACUGUUUAGCAAAAACACAGGUCUCUGCCAAAUCGAAAGAUGAAGUAUAGGGGCUGACACCUGCCCGGUGCCGGAAGGUUAAGAGGAGGAGUGAGAGCUCCGAAUUGAAGCCCCGGUAAACGGCGGCCGUAACUAUAACGGUCCUAAGGUAGCGAAAUUCCUUGUCGGGU